rnacentral:rRNA from 1 species
GAUGAACGCUGGCGGCGUGCCUAAUACAUGCAAGUCGAGCGAACAGACGAGGAGCUUGCUCCUUUGACGUUAGCGGCGGACGGGUGAGUAACACGUGGGUAACCUACCUAUAAGACUGGGAUAACUUCGGGAAACCGGAGCUAAUACCGGAUAAUAUUUCGAACCGCAUGGUUCGAUAGUGAAAGAUGGCUCUGCUAUCACUUAUAGAUGGACCUGCGCCGUAUUAGCUAGUUGGUAAGGUAACGGCUUACCAAGGCAACGAUACGUAGCCGACCUGAGAGGGUGAUCGGCCACACUGGAACUGAGACACGGUCCAGACUCAUACGGGAGGCAGCAGUAGGGAAUCUUCCGCAAUGGGCGAAAGCCUGACGGAGCAACGCCGCGUGAGUGAUGAAGGUCUUCGGAUCGUAAAACUCUGUUAUUAGGGAAGAACAAACGUGUAAGUAACUGUGCACGUCUUGACGGUACCUAAUCAGAAAGCCACGGCUAACUACGUG